UGUGUCAAGCGCAUCACUCUAUUGAAGGAUGUGCGAUCUUGUGAUGGGCAAUCACGAGAGAGUUCAACAUCCCUGUUUCAUUCUAUGAAGCAAUUUGGUUUGCUCUGUGACUUUGUGAUUGCUGAAUGUUACGAAUUGAGUGGAGCGGGAGCGGUCAUGCAUGCGAUCAUGGUGGAUCCUCAGCUGUGGUCUUCUCCCCUGGAUUCGUCCAUCGCCUAGCAGCAGCGGCUUCGUCAAACAAUUUACCCUGUAAUAUUGUGCAGGAACUUUUCGUAUUAAUAUAAAUGAUGUCGUUCUUACACUACGUACAUAUAUUAGGUCAGCACCUUUCGUUGAGCUAACAGAGGCCUACUACUGGCUGUAACAUUCCUCCCCAGUCCAUGCUUCCCCUUCGAAGGUGUCAUUUCGAAGCAAGGAUCACGCGUGACAUAUUUAUUGCGAUGUCGCGGUGAACAUGCUCAUAAAAUACGAACCCUUCCACCAUCAACCCUGGUGCACUUCUCCACGGUCGUCCACGUCUCAUGAGUCGAUCCCUCUCUCGCUAUGUCCCCUCCUCCUCUUCUGCUGUCCACAUAGGUAGAUCGAGAAGAAGAAGGGAGAGGAGGGACACGAAUGGAUCGCUGGGGGAACAACCAUCACCAUGAACAGCAACGGCAACAACAUCUGAGGGUCAACGAGCUGAGCAAGAACAUCCGCAAGACCCUUCCCCACCACCCAACCUGCUACUACUCCGACCAAAAGCCACCGCAGCAGCAACAGAAGCCGCAGCCGCAGGUGUACAACAUCAGCAAGAAGGACUUCCGCAGCAUCGUCCAGCAGCUCACCGGCACCCCCUCCCGCGACAGCAGCCCCGUCCCCAAUCCCCAUCCCCAUCCCCAUCCCCGGCCGAGGCCCUCCAGCACCCGCCUCCAGAAGAUCCGGCCCCCGCCGCUCGCCGCAAUUCCCCGGCCUCCUCCCCCUUCUCUGACCGCCGCCGCCGCUCGCCUUCCACCCCCCUAUUAUCCCCCCAUCCCCUACCAAAGCCCUAGUUUCAAUCUGCCCCCAGCUCCGGUUCCUCAUCCCAAUUGGGACCCUUCGUCCUUCCCCCGCCCCUUCAUCUCCGCCGGUGCUGCCGGCCCUGCCUGGGCCGAGUCGCCCGUCUCCACCUACAUGCGCUAUCUUGAGAGCUCUCUCGUCAGCUCCGACACCUCCCGCCAGCCGCACCAACCGCCCCUUCCAUCCCCGGGGUUGCUGCCGCCACUCCCCCUGCCAUCUCCAAGAACAACCGCUAGGCUACCUCCUCCUCCUACUACCCCGUCAGCGUCGGCGUUGCCUUCUCCAAGCACGUUCUUGAACAUGCUCUCGCCGAAAUCUCCUUAUCCACUGAUGUCGCCGGGGUUCCAAUACCCUCCGCCGCUGACUCCCAACUUUGCUCUGUCGCCAUUGGGCCAAUCGGAGAUGUGGGGGGCAGGACCAGGGCCCGGUCCGCGGCCACCACCCUCUCCCGGGCUCUGGUUCCCUCCGUCACCCUCUGGCUUCUUGCCCAUUCUGAGCCCUGGAUGGAGGGAUAUGUUGUAGCUCCAAGGUGGAACUGCUGUUCCUUUGCCAGCUUUUGUUGACAGAUAGCCAAGCCUAUCGAUCUCAAUAUCCAUUUAUUGGUCUGACCAAAGGUCUAAUGUAAGUGUUCAACAUAGAUGACAACAAGUAUUGGUUUAGGAGAUUACCAUGGACAUGUCGGCAGUAUGGGCAUUGGAAUACAAGAUGAUGGAAAUGUAGCUGGAAUUAUGCAGUUAUCUCUUAAUCGGAGCAGAUUAAGCUCGAGUAUCUGAACUAGAAAUUUGGACUCCAGACCAGGAUGAUGGUAACACUUGUUUUCUGUUUGUGAUGUAAACAGUUCCCAUCCUUAGCAUUUAUAUUUGAGGGAUGCUUUCUUUUGUAUCAACCAGAAAGAAAGAUCCUUGUACAUGGUUGGGAGCUUACAGCUUGUUGGUGCUGUUUUAGUAGGGUGUGUAUGAUGACUUGAGAUGUGAUCAUGUUGUAUAUGUGGUGUUUGAAACUUGCAGUUGCUGUACUAACUGUUAGCUACAAUACUCAGCUUUUCAUCUUC